AAAGACCUUGACUAAGAAAUAGAUAAAAACAAAAUUUACUCUCUAAGUCACCUCACGAGAUUUUUCUGUGUUGCUUAAUCUGUUUUUUUCCUGAGAUAGUAAUACUUUGAUUUCUCAAAGUAACAAUUAUCCACAUCCAUUGAGUCUACCAGACAGCCAGAAGGUUGUCGUGAUCCGUGGGAGAAGGGGAGUGAGCAAGUCAUGAGGGAGGAGAAGUGCUUUUGGGCGUUCCCUGGCACCACCUCCGCCAGGGCUGCCUCUGAGGAAAGCAGAAGUCUAUUUAAAUGCAUAAUGCUGCAAGAUCUUUCCACUGGUGCUACCAGCAGGGCUUCUCAGCUGUCUGUAGGCAGUUACCGACCCCUUGAGUAGCCAUAUGUCUUGAGUGCAAUAACAGAAAAUUCAUCAGCAGGUUUCUGUUAGCCUUAUUGUCUUGUGGAAAAGACAGAACAACUUGAAAAACAGAUCUCAAAUAUUAAUGUUUAAUAUUUGUGAAUAUCUGUGCUAGUCUAAAGGCUCCCAAACAUUGCUUAUGAAUACGUUCUGAAUUUUACAGAAAAGAUUACAAUUAACACCAUCAUCUCUACAUACCCUCACUAGCUACUUACUUGUCAUUACUGUUAUUAGCCAUUUAUUCAUGUGUUGUACAUCAGACUGUGCACUCCAGCAUAGCAUUGUGAACAGUUACAAAAAGCUUAUGUCCCUAAAGCCAAAGCCUCUUUAUGUGCAUUUCUCUGUAUAUAUACACAGCACAUGACAUGAUACGUUGAUAAAUGUUAUUAUAUGUAACAGGAAUGAACGAUAACUUGGAGUCUGCUGAACAGCCCCAAUUGUUCCUGACAGCGUGUUGUCUGCAACAUUAAUUCGCCUUGACAGUGCAAUAUGAAAAUAUAGUAAAGUCCAGAAGUUUCUUUGUGACAUUUUGAUGGGCUUUAUGUCUUUAAUUGUUUGCUCUUUGAUACUCCUGCUAUGUGAUUUGUCCCUUCAAUCACAUGGCAUUGUGUUUGCUCAGUUAUUAGGCAGUCAAAAUUCUUACAAGAAAAUAACUGUUGAGGAAUAAUUAAUGAGGAAUAACAUAUAAUGCAUCAUUGAUAUGGAAAUUAAUCAAGUUAUGUGGAAAUUCACAAGCCCUUCGGCAGUCAUCAACAUUUUUUAUAAGUAAAAUGGUAGCUGUCCAAGUAUUUACAAACAAAUAACAUGCUCUACCACUAUCAUAGAGUUAACUGAUAAGAUGUAUUUGCUAAAGUGUCAACAAAUUACAGUUUGUGCUGUUCGAUCAGCUCUAAUUAAUUCUAUAUGUUCCUCAAGGGGGAUUCAGUUCAAAUGAGCUGAUUAUUAGCAGUGAUGAGAGCUGGGUGGUUAAAAUCCUAUCCUUUUUUACAGCCUUCAGGAAUAUGAAAGCAAUU